rnacentral:rRNA from 1 species
CACGUAGGGUGCGAGCGUUGUCCGGAAUUAUUGGGCGUAAAGAGCUCGUAGGCGGUGUGUCACGUCGGCCGUGAAAACCUGCAGCUUAACUGUGGGCGUGCGGUCGAUACGGGCAUCACUGGAGUUCGGCAGGGGAGACUGGAAUUCCUGGUGUAGCGGUGAAAUGCGCAGAUAUCAGGAAGAACACCCGUGGCGAAGGCGGCUUUCUGGGACGGUACUGACGCUGAGACGCGAAAGCGUGGGGAGCAAACAGG